rnacentral:rRNA from 1 species
AGAGUUUGAUCCUGGCUCAGGACGAACGCUGGCGGCGUGCUUAACACAUGCAAGUCGAACGGGAAGAGAUAAAGAGCUUGCUCUUUAUCAAAUCCAGUGGCAAACGGGUGAGUAACACGUAAACAACCUGCCUUCAGGAUGGGGACAACAGACGGAAACGACUGCUAAUACCGAAUACGUUCCACGGGCCGCAUGACCUGUGGAAGAAAGGGUGGCCUCUACCUGUAAGCUAUCGCCUGAAGAGGGGUUUGCGUCUGAUUAGGCAGUUGGUGGGGUAACGGCCCACCAAACCAACGAUCAGUAGCCGGUCUGAGAGGAUGAACGGCCACACUGGAACUGAGACACGGUCCAGACUCCUACGGGAGGCAGCAGUGGGGAAUCUUCCGCAAUGGACGAAAGUCUGACGGAGCAACGCCGCGUGAGUGAAGACGGCCUUCGGGUUGUAAAACUCUGUGAUCCGGGACGAAAGAGCCUGAGGUGAAUAACCUAAGGAAGUGACGGUACCGGAAAAGCAAGCCACGGCUAACUACGUGCCAGCAGCCGCGGUAAUACGUAGGUGGCAAGCGUUGUCCGGAAUUAUUGGGCGUAAAGCGCGCGCAGGCGGCUUCCUAAGUCCAUCUUAAAAGUGCGGGGCUUAACCCCGUGAGGGGAUGGAAACCGGGAAGCUGGAGUAUCGGAGAGGAAAGUGGAAUUCCUAGUGUAGCGGUGAAAUGCGUAGAGAUUAGGAAGAACACCGGUGGCGAAGGCGACUUUCUGGACGAAAACUGACGCUGAGGCGCGAAAGCGUGGGGAGCAAACAGGAUUAGAUACCCUGGUAGUCCACGCCGUAAACGAUGGAUACUAGGUGUAGGAGGUAUCGACCCCUUCUGUGCCGGAGUUAACGCAAUAAGUAUCCCGCCUGGGAAGUACGAUCGCAAGAUUAAAACUCAAAGGAAUUGACGGGGGCCCGCACAAGCGGUGGAGUAUGUGGUUUAAUUCGACGCAACGCGAAGAACCUUACCAGGUCUUGACAUUGAUCGCAAUUUUCAGAAAUGAAAAGUUCUCCUUCGGGAGACGAGAAAACAGGUGGUGCACGGCUGUCGUCAGCUCGUGUCGUGAGAUGUUGGGUUAAGUCCCGCAACGAGCGCAACCC